CCUUUGACGUUAGCGGCGGACGGGUGAGUAACACGUGGGUAACCUACCUAUAAGACUGGGAUAACUUCGGGAAACCGGAGCUAAUACCGGAUAAUAUUUCGAACCGCAUGGUUCGAUAGUGAAAGANGGUUUUGCUAUCACUUAUAGAUGGACCCGCGCCGUAUUAGCUAGUUGGUAAGGUAACGGCUUACCAAGGCGACGAUACGUAGCCGACCUGAGAGGGUGAUCGGCCACACUGGAACUGAGACACGGUCCAGACUCCUACGGGAGGCAGCAGCC
rnacentral:rRNA from 1 species